UAGGGAAUCUUCGGCAAUGGACGGAAGUCUGACCGAGCAACGCCGCGUGAGUGAAGAAGGUUUUCGGAUCGUAAAGCUCUGUUGUAAGAGAAGAACGAGUGUGAGAGUGGAAAGUUCACACUGUGACGGUAUCUUACCAGAAAGGGACGGCUAACUACGUGCCAGCAGCCGCGGUAAUACGUAGGUCCCGAGCGUUGUCCGGAUUUAUUGGGCGUAAAGCGAGCGCAGGCGGUUAGAUAAGUCUGAAGUUAAAGGCUGUGGCUUAACCAUAGUAGGCUUUGGAAACUGUUUAACUUGAGUGCAAGAGGGGAGAGUGGAAUUCCAUGUGUAGCGGUGAAAUGCGUAGAUAUAUGGAGGAACACCGGUGGCGAAAGCGGCUCUCUGGCUUGUAACUGACGCUGAGGCUCGAAAGCGUGGGGAGCAAACAGGAUUAGAUACCCUGGUGGUCCACGCUGUAAACGAUGAGUGCUAGGUGUUAGACCCUUUCCGGGGUUUAGUGCCGUAGCUAACGCAUUAAGCACUCCGCCUGGGGAGUACGACCGCAAGGUU
rnacentral:rRNA from 1 species